GUAUUUAUUAUAUAUCAGCCAAUAAGCAUCCGCUCUUGUGGGGACUCUUAGUAACUUAAUCGGAUCGCAUGGGCUCGUCCCGCGACAAACCAUUCAAGUUUCUGCCCCAUCAUGCUUUCGAUGGUAGUGUAUUGGACUACCAUGGCUUUCACGGGUAACGGAGGAUUAGGGUUCGAUUCCGGAGAGGGAGCCUGAGAAACGGCUACCACUUCCACGGAAGGCAGCAGGCGCGUAAAUUACCCAAUCCUAAUUCAGGGAGGUAGUG
rnacentral:rRNA from 1 species